rnacentral:rRNA from 1 species
GGUUAAGCGACUAAGCGUACACGGUGGAUGCCCUGGCAGUCAGAGGCGAUGAAGGACGUGCUAAUCUGCGAUAAGCGUCGGUGAGGUGAUAUGAACCGUUAUAACCGGCGAUUUCCGAAUGGGGAAACCCAGUGUGUUUCGACACACUAUCAUUAACUGAAUCCAUAGGUUAAUGAGGCGAACCGGGGGAACUGAAACAUCUAAGUACCCCGAGGAAAAGAAAUCAACCGAGAUUCCCCCAGUAGCGGCGAGCGAACGGGGAGGAGCCCAGAGCCUGAAUCAGUGUGUGUGUUAGUGGAAGCGUCUGGAAAGGCGCGCGAUACAGGGUGACAGCCCCGUACACAAAAAUGCACAUAUUGUGAGCUCGAUGAGUAGGGCGGGACACGUGGUAUCCUGUCUGAAUAUGGGGGGACCAUCCUCCAAGGCUAAAUACUCCUGACUGACCGAUAGUGAACCAGUACCGUGAGGGAAAGGCGAAAAGAACCCCGGCGAGGGGAGUGAAAAAGAACCUGAAACCGUGUACGUACAAGCAGUGGGAGCCUCUUAAUGGGGUGACUGCGUACCUUUUGUAUAAUGGGUCAGCGACUUAUAUUCUGUAGCAAGGUUAACCGAAUAGGGGAGCCGAAGGGAAACCGAGUCUUAACUGGGCGUUAAGUUGCAGGGUAUAGACCCGAAACCCGGUGAUCUAGCCAUGGGCAGGUUGAAGGUUGGGUAACACUAACUGGAGGACCGAACCGACUAAUGUUGAAAAAUUAGCGGAUGACUUGUGGCUGGGGGUGAAAGGCCAAUCAAACCGGGAGAUAGCUGGUUCUCCCCGAAAGCUAUUUAGGUAGCGCCUCGUGAAUUCAUCUCCGGGGGUAGAGCACUGUUUCGGCAAGGGGGUCAUCCCGACUUACCAACCCGAUGCAAACUGCGAAUACCGGAGAAUGUUAUCACGGGAGACACACGGCGGGUGCUAACGUCCGUCGUGAAGAGGGAAACAACCCAGACCGCCAGCUAAGGUCCCAAAGUCAUGGUUAAGUGGGAAACGAUGUGGGAAGGCCCAGACAGCCAGGAUGUUGGCUUAGAAGCAGCCAUCAUUUAAAGAAAGCGUAAUAGCUCACUGGUCGAGUCGGCCUGCGCGGAAGAUGUAACGGGGCUAAACCAUGCACCGAAGCUGCGGCAGCGACACUAUGUGUUGUUGGGUAGGGGAGCGUUCUGUAAGCCUGUGAAGGUGUGCUGUGAGGCAUGCUGGAGGUAUCAGAAGUGCGAAUGCUGACAUAAGUAACGAUAAAGCGGGUGAAAAGCCCGCUCGCCGGAAGACCAAGGGUUCCUGUCCAACGUUAAUCGGGGCAGGGUGAGUCGACCCCUAAGGCGAGGCCGAAAGGCGUAGUCGAUGGGAAACAGGUUAAUAUUCCUGUACUUGGUGUUACUGCGAAGGGGGGACGGAGAAGGCUAUGUUGGCCGGGCGACGGUUGUCCCGGUUUAAGCGUGUAGGCUGGUUUUCCAGGCAAAUCCGGAAAACCAAGGCUGAGGCGUGAUGACGAGGCACUACGGUGCUGAAGCGACAAAUGCCCUGCUUCCAGGAAAAGCCUCUAAGCAUCAGGUAACAUCAAAUCGUACCCCAAACCGACACAGGUGGUCAGGUAGAGAAUACCAAGGCGCUUGAGAGAACUCGGGUGAAGGAACUAGGCAAAAUGGUGCCGUAACUUCGGGAGAAGGCACGCUGAUAUGUAGGUGAAGCGACUUGCUCGUGGAGCUGAAAUCAGUCGAAGAUACCAGCUGGCUGCAACUGUUUAUUAAAAACACAGCACUGUGCAAACACGAAAGUGGACGUAUACGGUGUGACGCCUGCCCGGUGCCGGAAGGUUAAUUGAUGGGGUUAGCGGUAACGCGAAGCUCUUGAUCGAAGCCCCGGUAAACGGCGGCCGUAACUAUAACGGUCCUAAGGUAGCGAAAUUCCUUGUCGGGUAAGUUCCGACCUGCACGAAUGGCGUAAUGAUGGCCAGGCUGUCUCCACCCGAGACUCAGUGAAAUUGAACUCGCUGUGAAGAUGCAGUGUACCCGCGGCAAGACGGAAAGACCCCGUGAACCUUUACUAUAGCUUGACACUGAACAUUGAGCCUUGAUGUGUAGGAUAGGUGGGAGGCUUUGAAGUGUGGACGCCAGUCUGCAUGGAGCCGACCUUGAAAUACCACCCUUUAAUGUUUGAUGUUCUAACGUUGGCCCGUAAUCCGGGUUGCGGACAGUGUCUGGUGGGUAGUUUGACUGGGGCGGUCUCCUCCUAAAGAGUAACGGAGGAGCACGAAGGUUGGCUAAUCCUGGUCGGACAUCAGGAGGUUAGUGCAAUGGCAUAAGCCAGCUUGACUGCGAGCGUGACGGCGCGAGCAGGUGCGAAAGCAGGUCAUAGUGAUCCGGUGGUUCUGAAUGGAAGGGCCAUCGCUCAACGGAUAAAAGGUACUCCGGGGAUAACAGGCUGAUACCGCCCAAGAGUUCAUAUCGACGGCGGUGUUUGGCACCUCGAUGUCGGCUCAUCACAUCCUGGGGCUGAAGUAGGUCCCAAGGGUAUGGCUGUUCGCCAUUUAAAGUGGUACGCGAGCUGGGUUUAGAACGUCGUGAGACAGUUCGGUCCCUAUCUGCCGUGGGCGCUGGAGAACUGAGGGGGGCUGCUCCUAGUACGAGAGGACCGGAGUGGACGCAUCACUGGUGUUCGGGUUGUCAUGCCAAUGGCACUGCCCGGUAGCUAAAUGCGGAAGAGAUAAGUGCUGAAAGCAUCUAAGCACGAAACUUGCCCCGAGAUGAGUUCUCCCUGAGACUUAGAGUCUCCUGAAGGAACGUUGAAGACGACGACGUUGAUAGGCCGGGUGUGUAAGCGCAGCGAUGCGUUGAGCUAACCGGUACUAAUGAACCGUGAGGCUUAACCUU